GCCGGCAGCCAUAUCACCCUGUAGCCCAAGACUGGUUGCCCACUGAAGCUAAGCAGGGCUGAGCCUGGUCAGUACCUGAAUGGGAGACCUCCUGGGAAAACUAGGUUGCUGCUGGAA
rnacentral:rRNA from 1 species